CCUGGCCGGAUACAUUUUUAUUAUCAAGUAUAUAUUUUAGGAAUGAUUAGUGUUGGUUUAGUUGAAUAGAUUGGUACAAUUAGUAGUAAUUUGAAAUGAUGCCUAUGGUUUCCUAACAUUUUGUCUUAGUGUUGAUUAAAGACAUAAUAAUGUGAAAUAAUAUGGUAAUACUAAGGAAUGAGAAAGUGGCCUUACAGGUGGGCAAUGUAAACUUUCCUGUAGAAGGAUUGAAAGUAAAUAGAUGUAAGACUAGAAAGUGAAACAAUUCUGUACUGUAAGAGCAAUGUUGGCUGUGUUAAAUAACUCGUUCCCAAACAUCAGAUCCACCUGGGGAGCCCAAAUAUUUACCUACAUUUUUGGAGUUCUUAGGGGCUGAAACUUACGCUUGUGAUUUUGUAGUAACCUAUUCUAGAGAGGAGCCAAAUUUGUGAUACUCAAGAGCUUGUAUGAUUUCUGCUUGGACUGUAUUGUUAAUACAUACAUACAUCUUUUGGUCUAUUGGCAAAUGACCCUUGCAAGAUGUUGACAUUUUGGGUAUAAAUCAUGGUGCUUAAUAAUCUGUUUUCAUUUUUUAUGUAUAAAAUUAAAUUCUUUUUGUCCUCUGCAGAAAUAUGAACCUCAAACUGAAUCCUCUAAAGGCCCCAUACAAUGAAGUAGACAUUGGUGGAAACAUUUACACCCAGUCAGCUUGAAGAGUUUCAAAUGGACCCUACCACUGAGAAAUCAAGAUGGCAGUCUACUAUGGGGAAUUGAGGAAAAAUGGAUUAAUACAAGAGUCCUGUGAUAAUAUACAACCAAGACAGGGUUCUUUUAACAUGGAUUCCAUGCAGUGAAUGAAGACAUAGGUUUCUUACCCAACACAAAUGGACAGUGGAUUUGACUUUCUAAAGACUUUUUUUGUGGACAUUUUGACAUUUGGAGAAGAAAGAUGGCACACUAACCCAGAUAAUAGUUUUUAUGCCUGGAAUUUUUUGCAGUUUGAUUUGUAUGCGUAUGACCUCUUGAAAUGUUAAUUUUUAAUAAAAUUUGUAACACUUAAAAAUUUCUCAGUUUGGGUUUUUUUUUUUAAGUGGAAGUUUAAUUAAAUGUUUAGUUUUAUUUUAGUAAUACUUUGGCCUUUGUAGUUGCCGAGUGGUAAAGUGUACUGAAUAUGAAUAAAGCUGGUAAAUUGGAAAUGGUGUAAUCGAAAACAUUUUACUUGGUUUAUGAAGAUUUACGUUUUUCACAAAGUUGUGCUCUUAGAUGGUCAUUUGGUUUAAAUACUGUUUUGUUUGUGCUUUCAUGAAACACCUUUCAAAACAACUCAAUGGGUAAUAAUAGAAUCUGAUUUUAAUCUGCCACAAGAUUUUAAUGAACUUGAAACAAACUGCUUGUUGCUCGAAAAUUCAGGAUGAGUGAUACACAUAUACUUCUGAAUUAUUUUGUGUUGAUUGAAAUGGUUUCUUAAGCUUUUUAAUACUAUAAAUACAUCUUGCUAUAGAAUAUUCAUCUGAAUAUUUAAAUUAAUGUCUCCUAUUGUCUUACUAUUAGAGGAAGAAGUGUUGGAUUUAUGGGUUAGGGUCCUUGGAGUAUUCACAAUUUUUUAAAUUUGAAAUUAUGUGUGUAAUCCAUUUUAUAUAACUUUGAAGUAGGAUUAAUAUCUUGUAUCGUCUUUAUUUUGUACAAUUGGGGAUUUAGAAUAAAUGAAUUGCACCCUGCCAUAGAUUACUUACGUUUGAUUUUUAAAUGCCAGGUUUUCAUUUAUUACUAAUCAACUGAUACCAGUUUUGGUAACUAUUACAAAGGUGGUAGGCAUUAUUUUGGUAGACAAAAUGAGUUCUUGAUUCUGUUUUCCCAUUUUACAUGAGAAGAAUAAAUAGUUCAGGUUAAAUUGUUUUGUGUUAAUCAUACUGUUUGUGAUUCAUGUCAAAUACUGCAGCAUACACAUCCAUGGUUAAUACACGAGCACCAUUUGUUAUUGACUGAUGUGAGGUGGUUGGUCUUUGUUAAAUUCAAAAAUGGAAUUUUGGAUAUUGUUCUUGCUACGAAAUUUAUCUUUGUGUGUAGAGUAUGGAAUUGAAACAGUUUGGAUUAUGGAUUUUACCUAGAUUGGACAUUGUUGAUUUUGUUUGGUGUAAAUCUAAAGUGGAUUUCUUCAGUGAGGGAGAGACAUGGUUCUGGCAGAUUAUGUUGAAUAAGGAAAGUUGAUUGGAUUUUUUUGGGUGUGUGAAUAUGCUUGUCUGAAUGGAGUGCUUGGUAGGAUAUUGUUUCUGGAAUUAGUAAUUUGUUUCUGUGGAUCUCAUGGUUUUGAUAUUUAGGAGAAUUUGCUUUGUGACAUUACUUUGAUAAUUUGCAAUCACGUAUGUCCUAUUGUUAAUAACAUUGUUGAAAUGGGUGUAUACUUACUUGAUUUGAAAUAUAAGGGAAGUGUUGGGAUAUGUGUUUUCUGUUGGAUUUGGACGUGGAGUUUCUUGGGUUACUGAUUUAAAGGUGAUCGUGUUUGGACCAUACUCUUGAAUUUUUGCCUGAAUCAGUAUGGGAAGUAAAUAUAUUGUGAUUAUGAGAAGUUUCUUUGGGGGGAGGAGUGUAAUAUUUUCAAGGUUAUAUAAUGGGUUAAAGAAUUUUGUGAAAGAACAAAGAAAAAUGGAUAUUCUUGAAUAAAAAUUGGUUGCAUUAACUUUUGCUCCAGUGCAACUUGAACACUAGGGAGGCGCUCUUGAGUUGUAAAAGUUACCCCUUUCUUCCAGUGGAGAUGGAAAAUUCCCCCUUAAAUUUUGUCUUUAGAUUAUUUUUAGGCAUCAUAAAGAAGGAAAAACUUGAAUUUAUAUUAUGAAAUUAAGGUUUUACUUUUAUUUAGCAAUCAUUUCACCCAUUGGGGGAUUAAUUUUUAAAAAGAUUAGUACUUAGCUGAGCUUUAGAUUCUCUAAGAAUUAUCCCUUUUUCAAAAUGGCUUGAUAAAACACCACUUCCUGUCCAGGGAGGAAGUUAUUUUAGCUCAAGGACUGAAAUAUUUAGCAGAUCUUUAGACAAAAGGAACAAAUUACAUUUCUCUCUGGCUUAAAAAGGGUGCUUGAGCCAGAGGGGGUUAAGAAGCCCUCCCCCCUCCCCCUGUUGGGGUGGUCUGGAGGGGCAGGGAGGUGUGGGGGUGGGGGUCCUUAGGCUCCCUGGGAUGGAGGAUCUGUCUCUCUCUCUCUCUCUCCU
rnacentral:lncRNA from 1 species